AAAUUUGCUCUCAGUUCAGGCUGCAAUGCUGGGUCCCGCCCCUUCUUCCGGCUGGGUUCCACUACCUGCAAGGCUGGAACUGACAGCCACUGUGCAAACAAAAAAAGGCAACAAGCAUGCUGGGACCAUUCUGUCUGCUGUUUGGGUCUCACUUGUCCUGACAACUAAAAAUCAUCAGUGGAAAGAAGCUAGAGUCAUCCUAACAAGAGUGAUAGUCUUUCCCCAAGUGAGACCAGGCUGUGCUGUCUGGGGAAAAGCAUUGCUGGCCUUGUCGAGAUGCACCGACGACUCAGCUCAGCUAAGGACUUAACCAGUACAGGACUUGCUGCAGCGGAGCCUGAGCUGGAUAUGGAAAGCAAAAGAAGCAAGAUCUCCCUAUGUUGCCAAGGUUGGUCUGGAACUCCUGAGCUCAAGUGAUCCUCCUGCCUCAGCCUCCUAAAGUGUUAGAAUUAUUGAUGUGAGCCACUGCAUGUGGUCAAUUCUGUCAUUCUUGACAACAAGGAUGAAGCUGGGAGAUACUGUGCUGAGUAGAAUAAACCAAGCACAAAAAGACAAGUGCCUCAUGAGCUCACUUAUAUGUAGAAUCUGUAACAGUCGAACUCAUCAGAGAGCAGAAUAAUGGUUACCAGGGACUAGCAGUAGGCUGGAGGGAGAGGUGGGGAGGUGUCGGUGAAAUAAUAUAAAAUUUCAGUUAGAAAAAAUAAGAUUUAAGAGAUCUAUUGCACAACAUGGUGACUAUAGUUAUUAA
rnacentral:lncRNA from 10 species